CAUCCUUCCACCUAGGUGCUUAUGCACACUUGUACUUUCUGUUGUAGUAGUUAACUGAAGUGUUUGUUUUUUUAAUAUGAUUUCUUAAGAUAUAAUUUUAGUCAGUAAACUUGCAGGUCAGUUCUGAUGUAUGUUCAAUAGCUCACUGAUUCCUUUCCCAUCGAACUCUGUUUUCUUUCUUUCUUUUAAUCGUUGUUUUGGAUAUUCACUAAUUAGCCUGACUAUAUACAUACCAAACAUCAGGUACGUCACUAAUUCACUUCCUUCCCUUCCCUUCGUCCCUCAGCCCCUUGCUCGUGGCGUUGAAAUGGUGGCGACAGGCGAUGGCGGCGGCGUUGUCGAUUGCGGUGAGGACAUCCCGUGGCAGCCCCCGAAGCACCAACAUGACGCCACCUGGUCUGCCAUCUCCAUAUGGGCUACCACGAUCUGAUCCGAAGGCCGAUGCAGCUCCGGGCUAUUGAUAAUGGAGGUUCAGGAUCCUUCCUCUCAGCACCCACUCAUGGCAGAAUCAGCAGCGUGCCACGCGGAUGGAACCCGGCCGAAAUCACGGGAUGCUUCCAUACAGGGCUCGCCAAGAUUGCAAUUCUGAACUUUUUUGUAAAUAAAGUGAAGAGUGGGACAUGAUCUGUACUUGUGCUAAUAGAAAAUAUACAGUACUUGUGUAGAUGUAUCUCGAUCCACUAUGUCUGAUCAUAAGGUGACAAUGGCGGCAUAGCAGCCCGGAGGAGACGGCGGCGAGCCCCCCUCCUCCAACUGUAGCAAUUCACCAGGCGGCGGCACGAAUGACCUUCAUCUCUAGAUGCUUCCCUGCACACCGAUGAGAUUCACGCCGAUGGUCUUGACUCCUCACCAAUGUCUUUUAGGCCUGAAGUCCCUGUAGUACCCAAGGUCGAGUGAUCACUAUUGCGCCUCGCCGUGUCCUGACUCCUAACCAAUGUACUUUAGC